UCACAUCAAAAAUUACUAAUGUAUCUAAUAUAAGUGGGGCAUAACUCAGAUGAUGUAUAUAUAAAAAAAUAUUUUAAUAUCUAUUUAAACAUUUAUUAUACAUUGUGGGCAAAUUUGUCAACUCACUUUAAAAACUAAAUAAAAUCACUCCCUAAAUCUAUUCAUUUCCAUAAACCCAUAUCUUUUAUCUUCUUCCUUCCAAACAUUAAUCACGCUACAGAUAUACACAAAUCUCUUUGUAACCAAAAUCAUCAUCAUCAUGAGCUCAACAACGGGCGAGUGUUUAAUUAGGUGGAACAUGCAAAUUCAAGGGCACCAAAUCAGUCUCCAGAUCUCAAAAGUGGGUCACCUCUAAUUUCCCAUCGGUUGAGUUGCCAAAUUCCUCAUGGUCGGACGUUACGCUCAGCGAGUCGAUCGGAUCUGGUUCUCCGAUGUACCUCUUCGCCGUACUCGAAUACUUCGCAGUCGAGGUACACAGCAACCAUAUUAUCUCUCUAUCGGAGCCGGAUCACAGAGAGAUCGCGAUCAAGUGGAGAAUAGCUCCGGGGAUGGUGAUGAGGGUUUCUUCAAUAGAUUUGGGCGGGGCAGAGGGGGAGCUAAGGUUAGGGUUAUCAGAGAAGAUAUUCUCCACCAGAUCUUUCAUGGCUUGGGUAAAGUGAAGAGGAAGACGAUGAUGAUGAUGAUUUGUUAGGGUUAGAGUUAGAAUAUGGAUCAUCCAUGAAGAAUAAGAAGAAUGAUUUGGAUUUAUCUGAUGAUGGUGAUGAUUUGGAUUUAUCUGAUAAUAUGGAUCUUUCAAUGAUUUUUACGGUUGAUUCAAUCAGAAAAAAGGAAAAUGAUUUUGAUUUAUCUGAUAGUUUGUUGUUUUUAUUUAGUUUUAAUGUUUAAUAUAUUGUUUUAAAAAAAAUGUUUAAUAUAAAGUGAUUUGACGAAUUUGUCCUUAAUAUAAAAUAAAUGUGUAAAUAGAUAUUAAGAUAAUUUUUUUUAUUUACACAUAAGUUUAUGUAUGGUCUACUCAGAUAGUCACGUUAGCAAUUUCUGAUGUGACAGACUUAAUUUGUUAGAAUUUAAAGAAAUUAAUAGUUC
rnacentral:lncRNA from 1 species